rfam:Oryza sativa Japonica Group DNA, chromosome 6, cultivar: Nipponbare, complete sequence.
AAAAAGGCAAACUCUAGAUUUUUAUGUCCAACUCCGUCUUAUAUGAAUUUUGUUUAUAAUUCGUAUUUUCAUUGUUGUUAGAUGAUAAAACAUGAUUAAUAUUUCAUGCGUGACUUGUCUUUUUAAUUUUUUUAUAAUUUUUUCAAAUAAGACGGACGGUCAAACAUUGGGCACGAAAACCAGAGUUUGACAGAGG